rnacentral:rRNA from 1 species
GACGAACGCUGGCGGCGUGCUUAACACAUGCAAGUCGAACGAAGUGGCGGACGGGUGAGUAACGCGUAAUCAACCUGCCCUUCAGAGGGGGACAACAGUUGGAAACGAAUGCUAAUACCGCAUACUGAUGGAGUGGAGUGCGUCUGAUUAGCGAGUUGGAGGGGUAACGGCCCACCAAGGCGAUGAUCAGUAGCCGGUCUGAGAGGAUGAACGGACACAGUGGGACUGGGACACGGCCCAGACUCCUACGGGAGGCAGCAGGGGGGAAUCUUCCGCAAUGGACGAAAGUCCGAAGGAGCAACGCCGCGUGAGUGAUGACGGCCUUCGGGUUGUAAAGCUCUGUUAAUCGGGACGCGGUACCGGAAUAGAAAGCCACGGCUAACUACGUGCCAGCAGCCGCGGUAAUAC